AUGCUCUGCAACUUCAGAAACGAGAACAUUUUUUAGCUGAAAGAGAAGCAUUGCUUUUCAAACAUGAAGCCGCUUUGACUAAGAUAAGAGGUGUGGAAGAGGAAGUUCAUGCAAAAUUUCAAAUUAUAAAGGAGCAACACGAGGCAGAAGUUAAACAGCUGUCAGAAACCUUGAGAGAGAAGACUAAAGAAAGCAAGAGGCUCAAAUCAUCAUUUGACACCUUGAAGGAAAUGAAUGACUCUUUAAAAAAACAGUUAAGUGAUGUAAGUGAGCAGAACAAGAAGAUGGAAGUUCAAGCAAGAAAAGUACAAGCACGUUUAGAGAAUUUACAAAGGAAGCAUGAAUUUUUAACAAUACAGAAAUCUAAAGAUGUUUCUCAAGCAAUGCAAGAAAUUAAAUCUGUGAAGCAGGAAAAAAUGGCAGCAACAUCAAAAAUUUGUAAGGUACCACUUAAUUCACAUGUUUAUGAGCUUUUAACUGUUCUUAUGGAUUGGAUCUCCGAUCAAUUCCUCAAAGCGAAAAUAGAGGAAGAAGGAAGAGACAAUCAAACACAAACGUACUCCCACAAAAAUUACACUCAAGAAAAGUGUGCAAAGCUUUUACCUAUUGUUGCUGAACAACUCCAGUGGAUGCCAUUUGUGAACCCUAAACUACAUAUGCCUGUAAUUAAAUUUACUUACUGGGCUAUAAGGCAGCUAGACUGUGGGACACAGCAUUCAACUAUGACAUCAACUAUGAGGAGGCUUGGUGAAGACAUAUUCAAAGGCAUAGUAACUAAGGGAAACCAACAUGGCUCUUCUGAGCAAUCUGCUGAAAGUAAACCAAAGAUAGCAGCUUUUUUUAAGAGUUCCAUUUUACCUUUGAGAUUUGUAUCAACUUUAAUUGUUCUCAAAACAGUAACACAAGCUGAUUAUCUGGCUCAGGCAUUUGAUUCCCUUUGCGUGGACUUGAAGACAGAUGAAGGGAAGGCCUUAUUUUUGGAGUACCAAUCUGUGCCUGUUAUAUUAAGUCACUUAAGAAUAUCCAGUAGAGGUCUGCUUUCCAAUGCCAUUGAUGGUUUACUUCAGAUGACAAUGGAAUCUGGUGAUGGGCACAUUUCUAGUUUCUCUGAAGUCAGUCUAUGCUAGAACAGACAUUGGAUGCAAGUCCUUCUGCCAUCAGGUGGAGACAUGAAAAUAGCCAGGCUCUUGUAUGAACUCUCUUUAUAAUUUGAGUUUUUUGCAGCCUUUCCUAGAAGCCUGCAGCAAUGAGACCUUUUUCCGUACUUGUUCUGUGUUGCUUCGAAAUCCUAAACUCGAUCUACUGGUAGUAGAAAAACUCAGCAUUAUACUGCAAAAACUCUCCAGAAUCAA